rfam:Triticum aestivum genome assembly, contig: Triticum_aestivum_CS42_TGACv1_scaffold_591982_7BS
UGUGUACUCCCUCCGUUCCAAAAUACUUGACUUCCAUUUGUCCAAAAAUGGAUGUACGUGUAUACUAAAACAUGUCUAGAUACAUAUAUAUUUUGACAAAUAGAAGGCAUGUAUUGUGCAACGGAGGGAGUAGAAU